rnacentral:rRNA from 1 species
AUUGAACGCUGGCGGCAUGCCUUACACAUCCAAGUCGAACGGCAGCACGGGUGCUUGCCCCUGGUGGCGAGUGGCGAACGGGUGAGUAAUACAUCGGAACAUGUCCUGUAGUGGGGGAUAGCCCGGCGAAAGCCGGAUUAAUACCGCAUACGAUCUACGGAUGAAAGCGGGGGCCCUUCGGGCCUCGCGCUAUAGGGUUGGCCGAUGGCUGAUUAGCUAGUUGGUGGGGUAAAGGCCUACCAAGGCGACGAUCAGUAGCUGGUCUGAGAGGACGACCAGCCACACUGGGACUGAGACACGGCCCAGACUCCUACGGGAGGCAGCAGUGGGGAAUUUUGGACAAUGGGCGAAAGCCUGAUCCAGCAAUGCCGCGUGUGUGAAGAAGGCCUUCGGGUUGUAAAGCACUUUUGUCCGGAAAGAAAUCCUUGGCCCUAAUACGGUCGGGGGAUGACGGUACCGGAAGAAUAAGCACCGGCUAACUACGUG